GCUAGAUCUAGGUCCCACAAUGGCCCCUUCAUCUUCCCACUUCUCCACUUCCCCACUCCACUCUAUAUAUCUGCCAUGCGACAACGACUUCCCUUGCCGGCUGCAAAGCCCCCUGGCCUAGGGUCUUCCACAUACAGCUUAGAACAAUCGUAGAAUAGACGAUGUUAAAGAGACGGCUCGAAUCGAUGUACGCCUUGACAAAGCACCUGCUUCGUCUUGGCCCUCUUUUUGCUUUGAUUAGUUUUAAUUCUUUCUAUUUAUUCCCCCCCCCCCCCCCCUCAAAUCUCAACAGACAUCUCUGUAUCAAUGGUGCGGCGGCCGAUAAUGUUGGUCGAACCAGUUGCAGAACAUUCGGAAAGGUCUGCGUGGCGAUUCCAUUGUUCUGAUGGGGAAGAACACCAUAAUGAAGCGCUCCAUAAGGAUUCAUGCCGAGAAGACUGGAAACAAGGCCUUCCUUAACCUCAUUCCUCUACUUGUGGUUCUCAUUGAUUCAAUUUGUUGUUUUGUUCCUAUUGGGUUGCAUUAGUCAUUGUGUUAACCUUUUGCGCGGUUUUAUUAGGGGAAUGUUGGUUUGAUUUUCACCAAGGGGGAUUUGAAGGAGGUGCGCGAGGAGGUCGCUAAGUACAAGGUUCUGUUUCUUUUCAUCACAGUGCUCUAGCUGCGAGGAAGUGUAAAAUUUUCAAUAUCGACGAUGUUGUUUUUCACAUACCAGUGGUGUUGCAGACUUGCAGUAGAAGCGAAAUAUUGUUUUCAGUUGCCAGAAUAGGUGAUUAACAUUCGAAGGGUUUCAUCUGUUCGAGACCUGCUUGUAAAGUUGGCUCUUAACAUUAUGUUUGAUUUGAAUGCAAUGAAAAUAUCUCCAACUUGAUAAUUGCAAUUUCAUUUUCCUCUGAUUUUAUUGUAUUUCUGUGUAUUAAACAUCCAAUUAAAUGUUUUGGAUUGUGUGGUUCGAUGUAACCUGAAAACACGAAUCCAAUCUAGAGCCCGAACUUCAAAGACCAAA